AUGGCCUCUACGGAAACCACUAGCAGCUGCAAGAAGCUGCGCGUGCUCCUCAUCCCCUUCUUCGCCUCCAGCCACAUCGGACCUUUCACCGAGCUCGCCGUCAGCCUUGCGACGGCCAGACCACGGGCGGUAGAGGCCACCAUCGCAGUGACGCCGGCGAACGUGCCGAUUGUCCGGUCGUUGCUCCGGCGGCACGAGAAUGCGGCUAACGGCGGCACACCUGUCAAGGUGGCGACGUACCCGUUCCCGUCCGUGGACGGCCUCCCCAAGGGCGUCGAGAACCUCAGCGCGGUAGCACAGGCCGACGCAUGGCGCAUCGACGUGGCUGCGGUCAGCGACACGCUGAUGCGCCCCGUGCAGGAAACCCUCAUCAGGGCGCAGUCACCGGACGCGCUCGUCACCGACGUACACUUCAUGUGGAACGCCGGCGUCUGCGAGGAGCUCGGUGUGCCAUGCGUCACGUUCAACGUCGUCGGCGCCUUCUCGACGCUGGCGAUGCGCCAUCUCACGCUGGCGCUCAUUUCCAAUUCCAACACCAACAUCAACAUCAAGCCGGAGCCGGAGGCGGUGAGCGUCCCUCGGUUUCCGGCCCCUGAGAUACGAGUGCCCACGAUGCCCACGUUCACUGGAAGUCAGUGUCUCACUUUGAUCACUGUACUUCAAAAUACCCUAAAUACAAUUACUAAAGUUGCUUAA
rnacentral:rRNA from 1 species